UUCGGGAGUCCGGGUGUGUGUGCUCGCGGGGACACUGAGGCCAGCGCAAGGCACAGUGUGCGUACGCGGAGGCCCGGCGACUUCCGUGCCUUUCCCAGCGCUCACAGCUCCGAGGUCACGUGAGUUCUGAGGCCGAAACUAGCAGCUGCCUGCUUGAGAUGUAUGUUGAAGAAACUGAAAGCAUCUCUGGUGGAAAUUCUUUCACUGGUUUCUCUCAGGAAGGGGAGAAGUCCCUGUGUCCUGCUGGAGUCCGUGUCAGCGGAGAAGAUUUCCAGGGGAGAUGAGCCUGAUGGCGCCGAGGGGCUGAGGCCUCCUGCCAGCCUCUGCCUGGGACAUCCUUGCAUCGAAGUCAGCAGGCUGCUCUUGCUGUCCACCCUGUUCCUCGGAGUCCCGUGUGAGAACACAAGUUCUGCAAGUUUUGACAAAUGUGUAUGAUCGAGCAACUGCCGCCACAGUUAAGAUGCAGAAGAACUCUGUCAGCCCGAACUGCCUCUGUGGCCUUUGGUUGGUGGUCAACCCCUCUCCCCCUCCCAGCUUCUGGAAACCACUGAUGUGUUUGCCUUUUUCAGAAUGUCACAUAAACAAAAUCAUAUAGUUUGUGAUCUUUUGA